rnacentral:misc_RNA from 1 species
GAUGAAGAACGCAGCGAAACGCGAUAUGUAAUGUGAAUUGCAGAAUUCAGUGAAUCAUCGAAUCUUUGAACGCACAUGGCGCCUUCCAGUAUCCUGGGAGGCAUGCCUGUCCGAGCGUCGUUUCAACCCUCGAGCCCCCGUGGCCCGGCGUUGGGGAUCUGCCCAGGCAGUCCCCGAAAACCAGUGGCGGACCCGUUACAGGCCCUUCCCUUGCGUAGUAGCAUUCGCCUCGCAUCGGGAGCCGGCGGGCUUCCAGCCUCUAAACCCCCAUCAAGUCCGCCCCGGCGGCACCAAGGUUGACCUCGGAUCAGGUAGGAAUACCCGCUGAACUUAAGCAUAUCAUAAGCGGAGGA